rnacentral:tRNA from 1 species
GCGAGUAUAGUUUAGUGGCAAAGCCUUAGCCUUCCAUGCUAAUGAUGGGAGUUCGAUUCUCCCUACUCGCU